rnacentral:lncRNA from 1 species
AGGCAGAUGUCGUUAUUCACAGCAGGGUUGGGGUACUUGGGGUACCGCGCUAGGAAUUUGUGGCAUAGCAACCCCAAGCUCUUCUCCUUCCGACUCGGCUGGGAUUUCUCAAAUUCGUCUCCUGAUAAGUGUUCCUGCAGAGGGAAAGCAGGUCAACAGCCUUCCAACAGCUCCGGGCUCCACACUGACCGUCCCUUCAUCCACAAGCCCCCAAACGCCACCCAGCCUCCCUGUAAACCUACGUGCAAACAGUCUCUAGCUUCAGAGAACAGGAGAGAGAAGACUUUGUCCUCACUUGGUCUUCCCAGCAUCUAGCCCUGACCAAGGAGAGGAAGGGCUCGGUGAACACUGAUUGGCUAAGGUUCUACCUUAGCAGGCUAUCCUACCAAGUAGCGAGGAUGCUUUUCUCCCCGCCUGAAGCGUCAAGUGCAAUUGUGAACACGCACCAAGUGCUCAGUAAGGGAUGUGAACCUGUUUUGUACAAAUUGGUGGCUUGUUUGGGUUCUUCAGAAUUGUGGCUUCUGAUUCACUGGAGGUGGCUGUGCCCCUACCCCGCAACCCCCUGAAGUGGCUGGCAUUGGUGCAAAUGAGGCUGUUGAACCUGAUCGUGUUCUCUCUGGCCUUGGACCUGAGUGCUGCAGAGAGAGAGAGAGAGGGAGACUCUGAUGGCUCUGAAGAUCAUGGCCCUUCCCAUAUGAGGUUCUAGGCAGUAUUCCUGAGCCGGUCUCUUGCUCACUCCCCAGCCCUUUUGAAUACCCCUUUUCGGUAUGAAUUUGAUGAUCUAAUUUGACUAUCUCUCAAAUGCU